rnacentral:rRNA from 1 species
GUGCCAGCCGCCGCGGUAAUACCGGCAGCCCGAGUGAUGGCCGAUCUUAUUGGGCCUAAAGCGUCCGUAGCUGGGUCUGAAAGUCCAUCGGGAAAUCCGCCCGCUCAACGGGCGGCCGUCCGGCGGAACCUGUGUGGCUUGGGACCGGGAGGCCUGAGGGGUACGAUCGGGGUAGGAGUGAAAUCCCAUAAUCCCGCACGGACCACCGAUGGCGAAAGCACUUCGAGAAAACGGAUCCGACAGUGAGGGACGAAAGCCAGGGUCUCCAACCGGAUUAGAAACCCCAGUAGUCC